rnacentral:rRNA from 1 species
UACGUAGGGUCCGAGCGUUGUCCGGAAUUACUGGGCGUAAAGAGCUCGUAGGUGGUUUUGUCGCGUCGGGAGUGAAAACAGCGGGCUUAACUCGUUGCUUGCUUCCGAUACGGGCAGACUAGAGGUAUGCAGGGGAGAAUGGAAUUCCUGGUGUAGCGGUGAAAUGCGCAGAUAUCAGGAGGAACACCGGUGGCGAAGGCGGAUCUCUGGGCCAUUACUGACGCUGAGGAGCGAAAAGCGUGGGGGAGCGAACAGG